ACUUUAAAUUAAUGAACGAAUAAACAAAUAUAUAUGUUCUCAUUGAAUAAUCUGGGCAUAGAGCUGGAAACUAAUCCUUACUGGAGGGUGUAGGGAGCACCCCUCCCCUACAAAUUUCUACCCUUGCCUAUUGCUCCUCCUAGCAUGAUGUAGACUGCUUCCAUUGUCUUCAUUCCAGGAAAAAAAACAUGUAAAGGGACAUAUGGGUGGGAUGGUAGAAUAGGUCUGAUCUGCACAAAUGUGCCAAACUUUUAUUUCCAUCCCACAUACAUGUUCAGGCAUGCAAUCUGCAACAGAAAGCACCCUUUUUACUGGAUCUGGUAUAAAAUGUUUCAGUGACAGUGGAUAACUCAUCUUAAUGUUGAUGUACUCCAAUGUAAGUAAAUUAACCAAAGAUAUGUGGCAAUUGCAGACUAUGAGAAAGAUCAUGAUAGGAAAAUUAACUGAGAUGAACUUUAAAAGCCACAAAAGUGCAAGUAAGUCAUCCUGCUGACUAGUUUCAUUGAUUGGAUAAUGGAAGGCUAAGGCAGAGAAUGACAGUGAUUUAGUGCAGAACACAUGAUAAAAGGGAUCACUAAGGUUUUCAGAUGAAAUUGAAAUGGACAGUCAAUGUGAUGGGAUGAGAGAGAGUCACAGAAAGAUGGGAGCCUCACAAGGGGCAUAGCAACAUGUUCAAUGAGGGCUGGAGUCAAGAGGUGCAAGGCUGAGAUCUUAAGCACAGUUACUGUCAGAAAAUUCCAUUGAAAUCCUAACAGCUGCACACAAGUUCAGGAUGGAAAAAAAAGUUUCUUCCUACAUUCUGAGCAUGAUUACAGGGCUUCUUGUUUGUACUGGUGAUUUGAGUGGAGAGUCUACCAACAGAGACUAUGUUGUUUUGGAUUAAUGAAUCCAGAAAAGUUUGAUCUUUUGAAAGUGCUUUCAUUGUUCUUGGAAUUGGGAAUUUCUCCACUUCUAAACCACUUCAGAAAUACAUUGGAAAGCAAGCCUUAUGAGGAAAGGCUGA
rnacentral:lncRNA from 1 species